rnacentral:misc_RNA from 1 species
GAUGAAGAACGUAGCGAAAUGCGAUAAGUAAUGUGAAUUGCAGAAUUCAGUGAAUCAUCGAAUCUUUGAACGCACAUUGCGCCCGCCAGUAUUCUGGCGGGCAUGCCUGUUCGAGCGUCAUUUCAACCAUCAAGCCCCCGGCCUGUGUUGGGGACCUGCGGCUGCCGCAGGCCCUGAAAACCAGUGGCGGGCUCGCUAGUCACUCCGAGCGUAGUAAUACAUCUCGCUCAGGGCGUGCUGCGGGUUCCGGCCGUUAAAAAGCCUUAUUUACCCAAGGUUGACCUCGGAUCAGGUAGGAAGACCCGCUGAACUUAAGCAUAUCAAUAAGCGGAGGA